rnacentral:rRNA from 1 species
UACGGGAGGCAGCAGUGGGGAAUAUUGCACAAUGGGCGAAAGCCUGAUGCAGCUAUGCCGCGUGUAUGAAGAAGGCCUUAGGGUUGUAAAGUACUUUCAUCGGGGAGGAAAAACAAAACUAAUAAUCUUAUUUCUUGACGUUACCCGAAAAAGAAGCACCGGCUAACUCCGUGCCAGCAGCCGCGGUAAUACGGAGGGUGCUAGCGUUAAUCAGAAUUACUGGGCGUAAAGAGCACGUAGGUGGUUUUUUUAAGUCAGAUGUGAAAUCCCUGGGCUUAACCUGGAACUGCAUUUUGAAACUGAAAUACUAGAGUAUCGUAGAGGGAGGUAGAAUUCUAGGUGUAGCGGUGAAAUGCGUAGAUAUCUGGAGGAAUACCUGUGGCGAAAGCGGCCUCCUAAACGAAUACUGACACUGAGGUGCGAAAGCGUGGGGAGCAAACAGGGAUUAGAUACC